GACGAACCGUGCGACCGUUAUUCGGAAUCACUGGGCUUAAAGCGCGUGUAGGCGGCUCGGUAAGUCCGCUCUGAAAGUCCAAGGCUCAACCUUGGGAUGCGGGUGGAUACUGCCGGGCUCGAGUCCGGAAGAGGCGAGUGGAAUUCCUGGUGUAGCGGUGAAAUGCGCAGAUAUCAGGAGGAACACCAAUGGCGAAGGCAGCUCGCUGGGACGUGACUGACGCUGAGACGCGAAAGCGUGGGGAGCAAACAGG
rnacentral:rRNA from 1 species